ACAAAACACGGAAGGGACAUAGUUCAGUUUGCAGCUCGAUAAUGCAGAACCUUGGCACUCACGUGCGGUUACCAUUUUAUGCAAAUGUACACUCUCGGGCUUCCUAUUGGAUGAUACGGAUUUGCGCGGGCUUACGAAAUAGACUGGUAUUAAAUUAUAUUUAUUAACCGGGUAGAAUUUAGAAGCGCCAUAAGGAUUCUAUCGGGAACAGAAACACCAGUGACACCAGAAUUGUGCACUCUCUCGACUUAGGACACAAACAUCACGUGAAAUGGCAGAUCCCAAGCCAAAAUAUUACAAAAAUUAUUCAUUCACGACUAAUCUAAACAUAAAUGACACCAGACGAAGGCAACCUACGUUCUGGUGCAAAAGGUGCCCUCCACGGACCGUUUACAGAGGACCGUUUAGAUUGCCUAUCACCGAAAGGGUUGGGUUCAACUACUUCAUCGCCUGGUGGAACCACGACCAAUCUCACAACAACCGCUAAUUGCUGGCCGAGCUUGCUCUUGCGGCUGUGCCAAGCGUAGUUACGUAGUAGCGCCUGUAGCAGUUGCUUGUGGUGUUGCCUACGGCUGUUCUCUAGUAGCGAAGGGAAUAAGCUUGAUAUCUAAACGUAAGUAGCCAUCAACGAGAUCAUAUUGUACCUGUAUAAGUUUACACACAAGGAAAACAACGGCAUCUCAAAAUCUGAUUCAAACGGAAAACCUGCAGUCGCCAGACACUUUUUAACUUUUUAACUCCGCACCUGCUGUCGAACCAAUCUCCAAACCAUUUUAACCGAACUGCAAGUUUAACACAAGAACUAAUGUUGCACCACAAGAAGACAAGAAGACAACUUAUGAUCUAGCAAAAAGAGACAAUUCAUAUCCAGUCGAAUUUUCCGUCAACUCGGCCUCGGCGAUAGCACCAGGGCGACACAUCACUCGACUGCUCUAAGUGUAAACAUUGGUCUCGAUGUAAAAGUUUCAGCUGAGGUAACUCUCAAUUUGGAUAGAGCAAGAGCUUACAUUAAAAAAAAUCUCUUGCCGGACCUAAACUCUAUUAAAGAAAACUCUAGAAGAAAAAAACAUGAAUUUAUAUUGAGGCGGUGUGUUAAGACAAUUUUGCCGACCUGUCUUUAACUUCGUUGGUUUUUGUUUACCUAAGCAGCCAAGGAAUAAGAAAGUUUUCUUUUCAUUUCACAAACUAAACAACAAGCAAAUUGAUGUAAGAUAAACCAUAGACAAUCACUAAAUGCUCUAGAACAACAAAGUGCCGAAAAAUGGCACAUUACGUCAUUUUGCUGUUUCCCGACGUUACAUAAGGUUUACAUAAGGUUUGUAGUUUUGUAAAACCUGCGAGAUGACUUAAGUUCCGAAAAAAAACGAUUGAAAUGGAAAAGAUAUUGACAUUUUGCUAUCGACUUACCAAGGACCAAGAAGGCAUUGUAACCAAUUUUACUGGGAACCUGUAUAGAGUCUUAUGUGUGUAAUUGAUUUUUUUUUUUAGCGAAUCUAUGAUUUAUCUCGUAUUAACAUAAAAAACAUUGUGAGGUUUAAGUUUUUUCAAACUUGGUAAUCAGAAAUUAUCUCGCUUGUUCCUCCCUCAAAUAAAUACAGAUUUUGAUUGUUUAAGUACAAAUAUUACAUUUUGAUCAUCACAUUUACAUACUAACUAACAUAAAACCUCGGAGGGGUGUAGCAUAAUUCACAGCGCAUGAUUGCUGAACUAUGACUUUAACACUUUAACAUGCGAAGGCCAUUUUAUGCAAAUAUCAUCCGGGUACAUUGUUCCGUAUUGUACUCAAUCGAUACACUAUAGGCCUUCAGGUUAGAGUUCAUUAAAGGGUCUGGUUUCUGUCAAAUAAUGUAAUGAAAACAAUUUUCGUCUCAGUGAUCAUGAGACGAAAAUUAUUUUACCAUGUAAAAACGUAUUUUCAUGACA